AGGACCACUAACCCUCCCUAAUGAU
rnacentral:tRNA from 1 species